rnacentral:lncRNA from 1 species
UUUAAUGCAUCAUAAUUAACACUCUACUCCAUUUUUUCGGUGAUUUGUAAAUAAGUUGUAGGAGACGAAAAGAAAAUUUUGGAAUCACAGAAUUUGCAUUUGACUGAUUGAUGCCACCUAUUGUUGAUGUGUAACCCUUUGAGCUGAGCUAAAACCCCUUGCCGCCUAAUCGCAUUUCAUUUUGAAUGUUUCUGUUUUAGUUUUAAAAGUUUUUUCUGCUGUUUGUAAUAAGGACCAUUGGAUUAGAGUCCAAGUGGCUUCUUAAGUGAGGUGUUAGAUUGUGACAAGUGUAAUCAUCUUAUAGGAUGAUAGUUCAAUGGCUAGGAUUAAAUCUUGUAUAGAGGCAGUUAGAGAAGAAUCUCUCUUCUCUCUCCUCAACGGUUAUAUUUUGAUUGCUGGUAAUGAAAGUGCUAGAACCUUCACUCUUCCAAUUCUUCUGUUUUCAUAGAGAGCAACGUUUCUCUCAUUCAUUCUCUCCCAAACACAUCCAAAUACAGACUCACAAAACUAUGAAUUCUAUCACCUAUAUGUACUCCAUAGGUAGAUAUGGUUCAGUCAUGAAAACUGUUAUCUCGCUAUGAGUCUAGUGAAGAUUGUCUCACAAGUUAUGUUUUUACUGGCCUUUAAACAAGACCUUCCCCCUGCUGAUGGGCUUUAACAAGCAUGCAAC